GUUUCGUAUCAAAUCCUAAAGAUAAAUGAAGAAUCCAAUUCCAUGUGGUUGUUGAGUGUUAGUUCUAAUGUGUUGAUUUAUCAUUGCUGCUUUGCUUGAUGAUACCAUGCGUUAUUUGAUUCAUUUCUGCUCUGCCACUACAACUUUAAAGGAAGUGAAAGGAAUAGGUUAAUGUUAGAUGGAAUAGCCAUUUUGGGUUAAGUCAUAAGUGUAUCAGAGGCUGCAACUUGAAACUUUAAGUUCACUUUCCUAUAUAGACAAUCUCCUUCCAAGCAUGUUCCUUGGUGAAACGGAGAAAUAACUGGCUAUUUCAAACCAAAGGGGGCACGGAUAAGCCCAAUUAUAAGUUAUAACUGCUUAAAAUAGCAAAAUUUUGAAUGCAUAACUUUCUAAUACAUUCAAAUCCAUGGCAAGAUAGUGUUUUUCCACCCUCCAUAUAGUAGCAUGAUGACAUGAUGUUGAGAGAUCAUGCAUGAUGGCAUCUACUUUGCUUUGGGAAGUUGUUUUAUUUCCUACUGUUUUGUGAUGCUCUUAUUGCUUAUAAAUGUUGCUUAUUUCUUUAACCUUUUGCACCCAGAAUCCUGAAAUAUCAUUGCUUUUAUUUAGGCAUUUUGCAUAAAACAUCAUUUGGACUUGAAAACUUCAUGCUACAGUUUUGUAGAGAGUCCUAUUUUAUAAAGUGGAGCUGAAAUAGCAAGCUUAGUUAUAGGUGGCUUGUGGGUCUAGCUAUUCUUUUUAUUUGUAAUAACAAGAGGAUCAUGCUUAUCCUGUAGUUAAGCAUUCUAUGCUUUUUGGACAUAAUAAUGGAUGCUUUAUAUGCACAAAAGAAAAUUUCUGUGCUUUCAUAUUUUAUUUUCUGAUGCAGAACAGCUGUGGGUUUUGGAUUCUGUCCCUGGAGAAGUUAGCUCUGAAAACAGUGAUGGAGAAGUCGAGAAAGUCUUGAAGACAUUGCAGAGUUUACCUGCAUCCCUUCCUUCACGAAAGUGGCUUGUGAAUCACAUGAUUGAACUAGGGUUCUGUAAGCCAACAGCAGAAUGGAUUAGUAACUAUCUAAAGAAAUCUGGAGAACAGGAGAUGUGGUCUUUUAAUCCUGAAGGUGCCAUCCAGAUGUUCGAUUCUUACUGGUCAAUCUCUCUUCCUAAUGAAUCAGCUUCUUUAAAUGCCCUUCUUUGUAGAAUGAAUAAUGGCAAUAAUGAUGCUUCAAGUUUUGCUUUAUGUUUCUUUUGCUUCCCUUGCACUGCCUCUAUACAUUUUCCCCGUGUUAGUUAAAGAAUGAAUGUCAAAUUCUCUAGGGAGUCAUCAUAUUGGUCUUUACUGGAACACCCACCAAAAGGAAUGGAGAUCAAUAUUUUGGUCGCAGAGAAGAGUGACUGUUGGGAGCCAGAUGUAAUUCAGCGACUUGAAAGUCUUGACAGUCAGAAAGGAAGUGGAUCUGAGGGUAAGGUUUCACUUCAUGUUCUUCCAAACUCUGGGCACUGGCUUCAUGUGGACAAUCCAAAGGGUCUUCUUCAGAUUGUGGCGUCAAAGAUCGUUUCUCUUUCAGCAUUAAUGCAUAGCUAUAGUUCAAGGGAUUCAUCAUAAAGGAGUAUCAUGGGUAUUGUCUUUAUCCCUUAUCGUAAUGCAAUAAAAUGUUAAUUGACACAUAUCAUGAUUCAUGAAUAAUCUAAUUUUUUGAUAAAAUAUUUAUCGGCAUUUUAGCUUGUUGCAUAUAGGAAUAUAUAGCCCAAAACUUUCGAGUUUCAUGGACUGUAUUGGUACUUUAUUUUCUUUUAAUUGCUUGUUUAACAUAUGUAUGUUGAGCCUAAGUGUUUUCGAUUUCUU
rnacentral:misc_RNA from 1 species